GUUGUUUGAGGAGUUGCGUGAAGGUGUUUACAGUGUGCGGGGCUCCUGGAGGCGGCCUUCACUCCUCCCAGACAUUACAUAUUACCCGACUUGUGGCUACCUCUGCACCAUGGAAUCAGAGGAAGAAACGGGCUCAAGCCCUGCUGCAGCACAUGACUCUGAUAAUGAAUCUAUGAAAUCUGUUGCAUCCAGAACUUCACGGGCGUCACGAACCUCGAGGGUAUCUGCAUCAUCUAGGGCAUCACGAAGAUCAAGUGUCAGUAGUGCUGGAAAUAUGAGUGAAGACGAAGGUGACAGAAGGUCGGGUGGUGGAAGUGAUAAUGAAGUUGAGGAGAGGCGCUCUGUAAUGGAUAGUGAGGAUGAGGACAUACAGCCUCAGAAACCAAGUUCUGAAUCUCCUAAAAACCCUGCAACUGUUGAUGAACAGAAAGAGAAAGUAUCAGAAGAAGUGUUUGGGGCUUCAGAUUCAGAACCCGAGGCAGGGGGCAGCAAGUCAGGCAGCAGACCUGGCAGUCGUACACAAAGCAGAUCAGGCAGUAGAGCAGGCAGUGGGUCAAGGAGUAGAUCAAGGUCCAGGAGCAAGUCUGGAAGCAGGGCAGGAAGUGGAUCACAUAGUAGAUCUCGCUCACGUAGCAAAUCUGGUAGUAGAGCAGGAAGUGGCUCACACAGUCGCUCUAGAUCAAGAAGUAAAUCUGGAAGUAGAGCAGCAAGUGGAUCUCGCAGCAGGUCUCGCUCGCGCAGUAAAUCAGGUAGUCGAGCAGGCAGUGGUUCUCCUAGUCGUUCUCGAUCUCGUAGCAAGUCAGGAAGCAGAUCUCGAUCUAGAAGCAAAUCUGGGAGUAGAUCCAGAUCUCGCAGCAAAUCUGGGAGCAGAUCUCACUCCAGAAGUAAAUCACGAUCUAGAAGUAAGUCUGGAAGCAGGUCCCGCUCUCGAAGUAAAUCAGGAAGUAGAUCACGAUCUAGAAGUAAGUCAGGAAGUAGAUCGGGUUCCGGAAGUAGAUCUCGUUCGAGAAGCAAAUCUGGAAGUAGAUCACGUUCAAGAAGCAAGUCUGGAAGUAGGUCACGUUCUGGCAGCAGAUCACAAUCGAAAAGCAAAUCUAGAAGUAGAUCACGUUCAAGAAGCAAAUCUGGAAGUAGAUCCCGUUCUAGAAGCAGAUCUGGGAGUGGAUCUCGAUCUCGCAGCAGAUCUGGAAGUCGAGCAAGUGCCAAAAGUGGGAGCAGUCGUUCCAGAUCACGCUCCAGAUCAGGAAGUGGUUCAGAUGGAGUCAGUUCUCCCAAGAAACGCAAAAUGUUAUCCGGUUCAGAAGGGUCAGGAUCGGAUGUAGUGAAACGUAAAAAAGUCAAACAUAAGAAACGGGCAAGUGGAAGUGGGUCUGGCGGAGUCAGUGAUUCUGACGAUGAGGCUCCUCGUUCCAGUAAGAAAAUCAAGAAGCGCAAAAAGAAGUCUGUGCUUAGUGGAAGUGAUAGUGAUUCAGGUCCCGAGCGAGGCAAGAGUAAGAAGUCCAAAGGCAGUGAAAGCGAAGGUGGUUCUGACAAGGGUCCCGACAGACCUGGCAGUGCUCUGGCUGAAGAAAAUUUGGGGAAUGAAAAUGGUGAAGAAGGUGCAAGCAAAGGCGUGUCCCAAUUGUCGGACAGUGAAGAUGAAGCAAUACGUGAUCAACUAAGGCAAGGCAAUGAAGAACCAGACUUUGUCAAUGAUUUUGAUAUGAUGAUGGCCAAAAAGAAGGAAGAAGGGGGCAAGCAUCGAAGGAGGAAAAAUAAUGUGGAUAUCAUCAAUGACAAUGAGGAACACAUUGCUAUUAUUGUUAGGAAGAUGCGUCAAGCUGCAGAUGAGGAUCGCCAGUUAAAUGCCCAACGAAAGCCUGCCACUAAGAAGAUAGGAAUGUUAACUAUUGCGAUGACCCAGAUUAACAAACAUAAUCUCAUUGAGGGAUUCCUUGAUGCAAACAUAUUGUCUGCCCUGACAGACUGGCUGGCUCCUAUGCCUGAUCGCUCGCUUCCUGCGGCCAAAAUUCGAGAAGCCGUUAUUAGAUGGUUACUUCAGUUACCACCGCUGUCACAAGACAUGUUGAAGACUUCAGGUAUAGGUAAAGCUAUUAUGUAUCUCUACAAGCACCCAAAGGAACUCAAGCUGAAUCGGGAGCGCUGCGGCAGACUCAUAUCAAUGUGGUCGCGUCCGAUUUUCAACGUGUCAGAUGACUUCAAAACAUUAUCUAAAGAGGAGCGCUUGGAGAGGGACAUGGAGUUACAUCAGAAUUCAGGCGUCACCAAGAAAGAGGAAGUACAGUUAGAUGAAAAUGCGAAACCUAUACGUCCAGGUGAGGCGGGUUGGUGCUACAGAGCUCGUGUUCCACGCCCAUCAGGCAAAGAUUAUGUUAAUCGACCUAAAUGGCAAACAGAAGUGGACAUUAGUAGGUCAACCAAGAAGGAAAUGUCACGGAUGGAUAAACAGAUGAGGGCUUUCCAAGAGAGAAAACGAUUAUCUAAGGCCCGCCGGGCUGUUGCAAUGAGUAUUGAAGGCAGAAACAUGGCACUCUAAUUUGUUCUUGUGUUUACUCUCCUCGGGUCAAUUAGAAUACAUCAUACAACACAGUUAUGGACUCCUGUUAGACAGUACCUGCCUUGCAGAUUUUUGGAUGUGUUUGUUUCCAGGCCAUGAACCACAGCAUAUUCUCCUUAAAUAUAUUAAAACUUUUGUAACCUGAUCAUCUUCUGUUGACUUCACAAGUGGUCACCUUCAUACUCUCUUGUAUAUGAUACAGUACAUUCAUAUUGCCUAUACAGCCUUAUAUUUGAAUUUGUUUGGAUUUAUUAUCUUGCACAUUGGCCUGGUCAAGGACCGGGCUGUGGGGAUGCUUGAAAAUCAUCGCAAGGUACUUUUUCAACAUUGUUAGUUAAUUCCUUGGUUAUCCAUCUGUUAGCCAAAAUUGUCAGCAUAUAGAAUCGACUUGAGAAUGGUCCAGGACGGACCGAAACGUCGUCAUCCCU
rnacentral:misc_RNA from 1 species